GAUGAACGCUGGCGGCGUGCCUAAUACAUGCAAGUCGAGCGAACGGACGAGAAUCUUGCUUCUCUGAUGUUAGCGGCGGACGGGUGAGUAACACGUGGAUAACCUACCUAUAAGACUGGGAUAACUUCGGGAAACCGGAGCUAAUACCGGAUAAUAUUUUGAACCGCAUGGUUCAACAGUGAAAGACGUUCUUGCUGUCCCUUAUAGAUGGAUCCGCGCUGCAUUAGCUAGUUGGUAAGGUAACGGCUUACCAAGGCAACGAUGCAUAGCCGACCUGAGAGGGUGAUCGGCCACACUGGAACUGAGACACGGUCCAGACUCCUACGGGAGGCAGCAGUAGGGAAUCUUCCGCAAAGGGCGAAAGCCUGACGGAGCAACGCCGCGUGAGUGAUGAAGGUCUUCGGAUCGUAAAACUCUGUUAUUAGGGAAGAACAUAUGUGUAAGUAACUGUGCACGUCUUGACGGUACCUAAUCAGAAAGCCACGGCUAACUACGUG
rnacentral:rRNA from 1 species